rnacentral:rRNA from 1 species
GUUUAUUUGUAGUUAUAAAUAAUUUGGCCUGCCCCCUGAUUUUGAAUUAAAGGGCCGCAGUAUUAAUAACUGUGCAAAGGUAGCAUAAUCAUUAGGUUUUUAAUUGGAAUCUUGUAUGAAUGGUUAGACAAAAGAAUAACUCUCUUUAUAUUAAUUUUGAAUUUAACUUUUAAGUGAAAAGGCUUAAAUAAGCUAAGGGGACGAUAAGACCCUAUAAAACUUUACAUUGUAGUUAUAUUUUAUUGAAUUUAUAAAUAAAAAUUUAAUUUAAUUAUUUGUUAUGUUGGGGAGACAUAAGUAAAAUUUAUUUUAACUGCUUAGUAGUUUAUAACAAUUAUUAGUGAUAAUUUUGUAGAAGAUCCUUUUUGAAGAUUAAUAGGUUAAGUUACUUUAGGGAUAACAGCGUAAUUUCUUUUAAGAGUUCUUAUCGAAAAGGAAGGUUGCGACCUCGAUGUUGAAUUAAAAAAUCUAUAUAAUGAAGAGGUUAUAUAAGAAGGUCUGUUCGACCUUUAAAAUUUUACAUGAUUUGAGUUCAAACCGGUGUAAG